rnacentral:rRNA from 1 species
GAUGAACGCUGGCGGCGUGCCUAAUACAUGCAAGUCGAGCGAACGGACGAGAAGCUUGCUUCUCUGAUGUUAGCGGCGGACGGGUGAGUAACACGUGGAUAACCUACCUAUAAGACUGGGAUAACUUCGGGAAACCGGAGCUAAUACCGGAUAAUAUUUUGAACCGCAUGGUUCAAAAGUGAAAGGCGGUCUUGCUGUCACUUAUAGAUGGAUCCGCGCUGCAUUAGCUAGUUGGUAAGGUAACGGCUUACCAAGGCAACGAUGCAUAGCCGACCUGAGAGGGUGAUCGGCCACACUGGAACUGAGACACGGUCCAGACUCCUACGGGAGGCAGCAGUAGGGAAUCUUCCGCAAUGGGCGAAAGCCUGACGGAGCAACGCCGCGUGAGUGAUGAAGGUCUUCGGAUCGUAAAACUCUGUUAUUAGGGAUGAACAUAUGUGUAAGUAACUGUGCACAUCUUGACGGUACCUAAUCAGAAAGCCACGGCUAACUACGUG